UGUCAAAGCUCGUGUGGUUGACAACUCUCAAUAUGUGGGAAAAAGCAUCUUGGAAACGCUUAGAAAUGGUCUUCAAAAAUAUAGCCAAUUGCCGCCUUGAAUUGAAUCAAAUCGUCGACUCAAAUAUAAAAGAAGGAGCAACUCGCCGAGUUUUAUGUGGAGACUCGCCGAGUUGAAUCGCUAUACUCGCAGAAAUCGUGAGUUUUUGCUUGGACUCGUCGAGUUAGUAUUAUGCACUCGACGAGUUCUUGACUCUGAUCAGGCCUUUUCUUCUUUCUGCUUCAGCUUUAAUUUUGUGUUCAAGGAGAGUAUCAAGGUAAUAAAACUCCUCAUUUUCUUAAGGGACGAGACUCUUUUUAAUUUAAUAUAAACAUCGGACUCAACAUAUCGCUCAAAAUCUUCUAAUCUUCUCGUAAACGACUCGACCGCUCACUUUAAUUCCCUCACGCUUUAAGAAUUCAUCACCCUAGCUUCUAAAAAGAUCAAAGACAAAACCACGUAAUAAAAAGGAAAACAAACAUCAAAAUAAAAAUUCCUAUAUUAUCCCUAAAUACUAGAAGUUUAAAAGAAAAAGAAAAGAAAACUCUAACGACGGGUUGCCUCCCGCAAGCGCUUCUUUUUGUGCGAAUCUUGAGCUGGACUCUCAACUUAAUAAACUUCCAAUAUACUCAAUGCCAAUCCAUCUGUUGCAUUGAAUAUUUUCUUUGGAUCAAUUUGUAAAAUUUGGCUCUUUUCUUCUAAAAUUGGCCAAACGAGCUCGAAUUCAUGAAACCCAACAAUCUUGACAAGGUUUGGAACCGGUUGGAUACUAAUCAUAAAUGGAUCGCGCUUCAGAACUUUCUCCAAAGCUGGAGUCGUCACCCCACACUUCGAAACACAAACUGAAAAUACAGGGGGCCAUGUCGUGGUAAUGGUCAAACUACAGCUUGGUUCCUGCAAUUCAGCUUGUUCUUGUUCUUCGUCUGACCUCUCUGCUAGCAAUCUUUCCAGCUCCUCCAAGUCUCUUUCUGGAUUAAAUUCUUCAUCUUGUAACUCAAAUGUCCCUUCUGUGUUGGGCAAGAUGUUAUCUAACCAUCUUCCAAAUUUCUUCAAAUCUUCAUCUGAGUCAUACUCCUCAUCUCCUUGCUCAAUUUCCUGUACUACUUCCUCAAGAAAAGCAUCAAAAGCAUCGAGAUUUGGAAAAUACAUAAUAAAUAAAAAUUAAAAUUAAAAUUAAACUAAAUAAAAAAAUUAAUCAAAAAAUAAAAAAAAAAUAAUAACAAUUAGCAAAUAAAAUUAANACUAAAUAUGCUCAUAUCAAAAUACCCCACACUUGACUUUUGCUUGCCCCCAAGCAAAACUGAAUUUUAGUACACUAAUAUUACAUAAGACAAUCCCAAUCGAACCCAGCCAUUAUGCCAAGACCGCAACGCAUGCAUUUGUGUCUAAAAUUUUCCUAAUAACCCCCCAUACUCCAAAUACUCACAAUCCUCAUAAACAUUCGCCCACUUUUUCCGAACAAUGCUCAUUUUAUGCAUCCCUCCGAAUCCAUCCUCAGAAAACCUCUUAACCUCAAGGUAUUUUUAGUUGAGCAACCCAAACAUACAUAAUCUAGAAUUACAACUUUUCGAUACCACUAUGGAGCUCUUUUGAAUUCUUCAUUUCCUUGAUAAUUUGAUCUUUGAUCUCUUUGAAUUCACCACCUUUAUUGUUUGAUUUUUGAUAUCUUCAACUUUUUGGAUUUCUUGGAAUUUUGAUCUUUUGAUCUUUACUUUAACUUCUCCAAAAUUCCUACAAAUUUUCUUGUAAUUCUGUCUUUUGUUUUUUUACAUGUACCUCACUUUUUUUUCACUCAAAACCUACAUGCUUAAGUAGGGGCGCUCAACUUCAACCUUUAUUGGUUAACGAUAAUAAUUUUCCUGGAUACAUUUCUGGUACACGAUGCUAAACAUAUUGCAUCCUUGAAACUAAGCGAGGUCGUGUUUUUGUCCCAUGAUUUCACUAGAAUAAGGAAGCCACAAAUGCACUAGAACGUAUAUAGGCUCAACUAAACAUUUGGGUUUUCAUGCAAUCAUCAAAUAUAAUACUAGCAUAGAAUCCUAAUUGCUUGACCAAAAUUUUCUAAAUUAUCCCUAGCAAUUUAAAUGCAAAAUUUUCAAAAUUUAUCAUAAAUUAACUAAAAUUUUAACUAAUUUAACCAACCCCCUACCCCACAUUUAAUUUAUGCAAUGUCCCCAUUGCAUAUAAUGGAUGAUAAAGAACAAUAAAAUAAAGAGGGAAUUGGAACAAACUCCCCUAGGAUAGUAGUCGCGAGGUUAAUCUUCUUAAUGUAAAGCUCCAACUUCAGCUGACUUUGGCAUGGGAACAGCGCAUCCAUGCCUUGGGUGUCAAAGCUCGUGUGGUUAACAACUCUCAAUAUGUGGGAAAAAGCAUCUUGGAAACGCUUAGAAAUGGUCUUCAAAAAUAUAGCCAAUUGCCGCCUUGAAUUGAAUCAAAUCGUCGACUCAAAUAUAAAAGAAGGAGCAACUCGCCGAGUUUUAUGUGGAGACUCGCCGAGUUGAAUCGCUAUACUCGCAGAAAUCGUGAGUUUUUGCUUGGACUCGUCGAGUUAGUAUUAUGCACUCGACGAGUUCUUGACUCUGAUCAGGCCUUUUCUUCUUUCUGCUUCAGCUUUAAUUUUGUGUUCAAGGAGAGUAUCAAGGUAAUAAAACUCCUCAUUUUCUUAAGGGACGAGACUCUUUUUAAUUUAAUAUAAACAUCGGACUCAACAUAUCGCUCAAAAUCUUCUAAUCUUCUCGUAAACGACUCGACCGCUCACUUUAAUUCCCUCACGCUUUAAGAAUUCAUCACCCUAGCUUCUAAAAAGAUCAAAGACAAAACCACGUAAUAAAAAGGAAAACAAACAUCAAAAUAAAAAUUCCUAUAUUAUCCCUAAAUACUAGAAGUUUAAAAGAAAAAGAAAAGCAAACUCUAAUGACGGGUUGCCUCCCGCAAGCGCUUCUUUUUGUGCGAGUCUUGAGCUGGACUCUCAACUUAAUAAACUUCCAAUAUACUCAAUGCCAAUCCAUCUGUUGCAUUGAAUAUUUUCUUUGGAUCAAUUUGUAAAAUUUGGCUCUUUUCUUCUAAAAUUGGCCAAACGAGCUCGAAUUCAUGAAACCCAACAAUCUUGACAAGGUUUGGAACCGGUUGGAUACUAAUCAUAAAUGGAUCGCGCUUCAGAACUUUCUCCAAAGCUGGAGUCGUCACCCCACACUUCGAAACACAAACUGAAAAUACAGGGGGCCAUGUCGUGGU
rnacentral:lncRNA from 1 species